CGGCGGGGCGGGCGCCACUCACCUGGGGGACGCGGCCGCGGGCGGCGGGAGCCGGGAGCUCGGGCCCUGCCCGCCCCCUGGCCUGGAGUUUGAAAGGAGGAAGCCUGGAAUGUGCGGAAUGAGGGCUGGGACAGGACCCUCUUUCAGUGACCCUCAGGAAUGAAUCUGUUGGUGGAAGUAUUGCAUCUGUCCGAAUCAAGCUCGAAGAGAUACAUAUGGGUCCCCUCAAAUGACACCAUAUAAUCCACAGCUCAACUCACUUCUUAGUGAAGCAGACCACCCCACCCAGUCCUACAGCUGCAUCUCAGCCAGGCUUCAUGGCUUACGGUCAUUCUCGUGGACUAUCUGAAAGUUCUUCACAGAUGCCUGAGUGACCCGGCCAUUGAAGUUCAGGAUGUACGACUGGUUGUCAUCAUUCCAGACUGGGGCCUUAUUGUGCAGUUCAAUCAAGUUCUCC